rnacentral:rRNA from 1 species
ACGAACGCUGGCGGCGUGCCUAAUACAUGCAAGUCGAACGCUUCUUUUUCCACCGGAGCUUGCUCCACCGGAAAAAGAGGAGUGGCGAACGGGUGAGUAACACGUGGGUAACCUGCCCAUCAGAAGGGGAUAACACUUGGAAACAGGUGCUAAUACCGUAUAACAAUCGAAACCGCAUGGUUUUGAUUUGAAAGGCGCUUUCGGGUGUCGCUGAUGGAUGGACCCGCGGUGCAUUAGCUAGUUGGUGAGGUAACGGCUCACCAAGGCGACGAUGCAUAGCCGACCUGAGAGGGUGAUCGGCCACAUUGGGACUGAGACACGGCCCAAACUCCUACGGGAGGCAGCAGUAGGGAAUCUUCGGCAAUGGACGAAAGUCUGACCGAGCAACGCCGCGUGAGUGAAGAAGGUUUUCGGAUCGUAAAACUCUGUUGUUAGAGAAGAACAAGGAUGAGAGUAACUGUUCAUCCCUUGACGGUAUCUAACCAGAAAGCCACGGCUAACUACGUGCCAGCAGCCGCGGUAAUACGUAGGUGGCAAGCGUUGUCCGGAUUUAUUGGGCGUAAAGCGAGCGCAGGCGGUUUCUUAAGUCUGAUGUGAAAGCCCCCGGCUCAACCGGGGAGGGUCAUUGGAAACUGGGAGACUUGAGUGCAGAAGAGGAGAGUGGAAUUCCAUGUGUAGCGGUGAAAUGCGUAGAUAUAUGGAGGAACACCAGUGGCGAAGGCGGCUCUCUGGUCUGUAACUGACGCUGAGGCUCGAAAGCGUGGGGAGCAAACAGGAUUAGAUACCCUGGUAGUCCACGCCGUAAACGAUGAGUGCUAAGUGUUGGAGGGUUUCCGCCCUUCAGUGCUGCAGCUAACGCAUUAAGCACUCCGCCUGGGGAGUACGACCGCAAGGUUGAAACUCAAAGGAAUUGACGGGGGCCCGCACAAGCGGUGGAGCAUGUGGUUUAAUUCGAAGCAACGCGAAGAACCUUACCAAGUCUUGACAUCCCUCUGACCGAUCCGUAACGGGAUCUUUCCUUCGGGACAGGGGAGACAGGUGGUGCAUGGUUGUCGUCAGCUCGUGUCGUGAGAUGUUGGGUUAAGUCCCGCAACGAGCGCAACCCUUAUUGUUAGUUGCCAUCAUUUAGUUGGGCACUCUAGCAAGACUGCCGGUGACAAACCGGAGGAAGGUGGGGAUGACGUCAAAUCAUCAUGCCCCUUAUGACCUGGGCUACACACGUGCUACAAUGGGAAGUACAACGAGUCGCAAAGUCGCGAGGCUAAGCUAAUCUCUUAAAGCUUCUCUCAGUUCGGAUUGUAGGCUGCAACUCGCCUACAUGAAGCCGGAAUCGCUAGUAAUCGCGGAUCAGCACGCCGCGGUGAAUACGUUCCCGGGCCUUGUACACACCGCCCGUCACACCACGAGAGUUUGUAACACCCGAAGUCGGUGAGGUAACCUUUUGGAGCCAGCCGCCUAAGGUGGGAUAGAUGAUUGGGGUG